GAAUGUUGAAACUGUCCUGCAGUGAUUCCACUUCUCAAAGCACCACCCCAGGGCCACAUUCACUUGGGACUGGAUUCGAUACAAUUUCAAAACGGGAGUCGGAAUUCCUUAGGACCCUCUGUGGACAAAAAGCUGAUACCCCUGUUACCACAAGGAUUCCUGCACUUCUUCUAGUUUGUAGCUUUCCAGGAGACCUGGCAGAAACAACAAAUCAAAUCUCCAUGCUUAACAAUCCUUUACCUUUGAAGACUUUAAAAACAAAUGAGGACACCAUCCCUGCUCAUUCACCCUGCCAUCCGAGUGCAAUCUACAAAGUGCUCUCCUGCUGAUUGUUUCAUCUCCAUUAACGCCCUUGUGAAGCAUUCCCAUUCUACCAGUGAGGACGCUAAGAACCCGAGGAAGGUAAAUGAUUUGCCCAAGGUUGCACAGCUACCAUGUGGCAAAACCAGAACUUUUCUUAAAAAUCUAGCGUUCUUUCCACCAAAUAACAGCUAAUAUGAACAAUCAGACAUGGGGCUCUCAAGGAAAAGGUUUUCAUGAUAACUUUGUUGUGCCUCGGAUUUCAUCUGUCAUUUUUUGAAUAGCUAAAUGACUGAGAAGUCUAAAGAGCUGAGGAAUCUAAACGAGAAAAGAUGCCUCCUUGUCUGGAAAGAGGGUGGGUCAUCUUUACAGAUUAAUGAAGCGGCACAGAAACAUCGGUAGGAGGGGGAUGAAGAUUACACAUGCAGUUAAGAAGUAGGCUGGGCUGGGAAUCUAACCCUGAAAAAAGACAGAUUGCGUUUAUCCCUGGAUUAGCAGUCUAGAAACUCUUCAGUCACUCAUAAAAUCUUCUAGCUGAAUCCAGAGCAGAAAGGGUGGCAGGAACAAGAGAAGGCGGCAGGCUGAGUAGAAAAAAAUAAAACAUCAUAAAGAGGGAAGAAAAGAGAAAAUUCUACCAAAAGAGAGGAGAAUGCAGAAGUGCAGAAAACAGAAAGCAACAGGAGAAAGAUGACAUGGGCAUGGAGCAAAAACAGGUAGACAACCACAAAAAUCCAUUGUGUUGGAACUCAGAAAGCAGAGGUGGCCCCAAAUGCAGACCAGCUGUGUGCUAGUGAAAAUCUGUUGCAUGGUGAGAGUUUCUGAAAACUGUGUGGCGUCUUUGUCAGAUUCUAGUUCAGAAAGGGACCUAAAAUCAGUCUGCUGGGGGAACCUUUCAGAUGUUGGUGAGGAAGGAUAAGAUACAGCCUUUCUGGUAUGUAGGUCAGAAGAGUUCAGCUCCAGGACCCUGAAAGAAAAAGAGUUAAGGAAACUUGAUCUUGGUUGGCUUCCAACUUUGCAGGGAAAUACAGCUACAGAGGAAGGAGAGGUAGAGCCAGGAUUUUGAAGUCUACAGCAAAUUGCAAAAACUGGUGAGAGGUAGAGUUACCAAAGAGCUCAGGGAUGCAGUGAAAAGCAACAGGAGAAGAAUCAGGGCAGGAAGAACUGAACAAACUGCCUGUUGUCAGGAGCAGAAAUCCCUCCCCCAGGUAGCCAAACACCCAUGAGCUGGUUGCCAGCCUUGCUCUGAGGGGCAGGAGUUAUCCAGAUCCCACUUCUCAGCUGAGUUCAAGUUCCUGGCUUAGUGCCUGGCAACGCCCAGUUCCUUCCAGUUAGCAGGAGUGGCUCCACAGUCAACCACUUCACCUCACUGGGCAAGGAAGAGGCCAAGGGUAGAAGGUUAAGAAGAGAAAAUGCUAAAUAAAAAGGAUGUUUGCCCCUCACAGUUUUCUGGACACCAGUCAGCAGGACUUAGACCAAAACUGCAGGCAUCUACAUAAGGCCUAAGUUAUGUUUGUGCCCAGGCAAAUGGAAGGAAAGGAAGAGGAGUUCUGGAAAUUGAAAAGAAGAAAAGUAAAGUUUUCAGAGACACCAUUUUCUUUCUAAACUUUUCCAGAGAAAGAUCCUGAUUGUCAUUUAAAAUUGUGACAUACCAAUAGUUUUUGAAAGAAUCUCAUCUGUCCCAUCCAUCUACACAUUUCCCAAAAAAUGAUUUCUAGUGAGUAUCUAGACCUUAGCCAGCAGGAGACUCACUGGGGGCUCAGGAGACAGAAGGGACAGUGGGCCUGUAUCAAUAUUUGUAAAAGUUGUCUUUCUCAACCUCCUAGGCAAAAAUCUUUUUUUCACCUAAGGUGAAAUUAGCAUUCUGUGAAGCAAGGAAAACAAAUAAUUUAGCUCUUAGGGUCAUCAAAUAAAGCAUUCGUUUACUC
rnacentral:lncRNA from 10 species